GUAGGGAAUAUUGCGCAAUGGAGGCAACUCUGACGCAGCCAUGCCGCGUGCAGGAAGAAGGCGCUACGCGUUGUAAACUGCUUUUAACCGGGAAGAAACCCCAGGACGUGUCCUGGGUUGACGGUACCGGAGGAAUAAGCACCGGCUAACUUCGUGCCAGCAGCCGCGGUAAUACGAAGGGUGCAAGCGUUAUCCGGAUUCAUUGGGUUUAAAGGGUGCGUAGGCGGAGCGUUAAGUCAGUGGUGAAAUCCUGCAGCUUAACUGUAGACUUGCCAUUGAUACUGGCGCUCUUGAGUGCGCUUGAAGUGGGCGGAAUGUGCCGUGUAGCGGUGAAAUGCUUAGAUAUGGCACAGAACACCAAUUGCGAAGGCAGCUCACUAAGGCGAUACUGACGCUGAGGCACGAAAGCGUGGGGAUCGAACAGGAUUAGAAACCCGGGUAGUCC
rnacentral:rRNA from 1 species